UACGGAGGGUGCGAGCGUUGUUCGGAAUUAUUGGGCGUAAAGCGCACGUAGGCGGCCCGUUAAGUCUCAUGGUGAAAGGCCGGGGCUCAACCCCGAGCAAGCCGGGGAUACUGGGGGGCUGGAGACAGGUAGAGGCCAUCGGAAUUCCGGGUGUAGCGGUGGAAUGCGUAGAGAUCCGGAAGAACACCGGAGGCGAAGGCGGCUGGCUGGACCUGAUCUGACGCUGAGGUGCGAAAGCGUGGGGAGCGAACAGG
rnacentral:rRNA from 1 species